rnacentral:lncRNA from 1 species
CUGGAAUCCUGGGGAAAUGCUGGGUAAGAACAGGAGGAGCUUGGAGCAUCUCAUGGAAACAAGUGCCACCUCCCUCCAGAAUGCCGCACUUGCUCCUGUUCCUCGGAGAAAGACGAGCCUUUACAGCAGAAUGGAGCAGCCGCGGAUACACACCCGCUCCCACCCACACACUCACGCCGGGCCCAGGCCGCCAGGCGUGGAUGCACGCGCACGCACACGCAUGCACACGUGCACACGCAUGGACACGCUCGUGCUGCAAGGCCAUGGGCCACCGUGUGCUGUUCCGUGCACAUUUAUUCUCCUCUGAGGACCCAGGCCGGCUUGUCCGUGAAGUGCCAACAUUAGGGGCUGUGCAGGGCAGGGUGAGCGAGCACUGACCACCAGCGCCGGCCCCCACUGCUGCGGCCAGUGGGCUGGACGACCAAGGACGAGGCCGGGGCCUUGAGACAAAAGUCCCAGCAAUGAGGCAGGGACCUCACAGCAGAGGGAGCUGGACCCAACCUGUUUUCAAGACACGAAUCUGCUGCAGCCCCCGACGGGCCCCAAGAGACUCUGCCUUGAGUCUUUUCUUAGGAGUCCACCCACGGCCGCAUCUCCAGCUAGAUCAAGCCCACGGCUUUUCACACUGCUGGACCAGACACCACGAGAGAUGUUCGGUCAACACUGUGCAUAUCUCAACUUUCAGGUGGACACUGCUGCCCGGAAAUGACUUUCACUUAUUUUCAAUCGGUCUACUUAGAAAAAGAAAAUCGGCAUUGGCUACGCUGUGACCAAGACAGCUUAGGGAAGAAGGGCAGGGUGGCUGCUGACCGCAGGCUCUCAACAGACCUGUGUACAAUGGGUGGGCAAGCAAGUGUCCAUGAGUGCAGAGACAGACAAGCAGAUGUCUAAUGAAGGAGGAGACAACCAGCAUCGAACAAAUGACCAAGAAAUAGAUGCCUAGUGGGUGAAUUGAUCAGCAAAUGUAUACACGUGUGCAUAAACAAAUCAAUAUCUAAUAUCUAAACUAAUAAAUGUAUGAACAAAUACAUGCCUAAUGAGUGAAUAGACAAAUAUCUCAUGAAUGCGUGGACAAAUCGAUAUCUAAUGAAUGGACAAACAAAUGCAUAUCUAUGAAUGGAUGAACAAAUACAUAUCGAAUAAAUAAAUGAAUAAAUACCUAAUAGAUAUAUGAACAGAUAUAUCUCUAAUGAGUGAAUAAACAAAUAUCUCAUGAAUACGUGGACAAAGCGAUA